rnacentral:rRNA from 1 species
GAUGAACGCUGGCGGCGUGCCUAAUACAUGCAAGUCGAGCGAACAGACGAGGAGCUUGCUCCUUUGACGUUAGCGGCGGACGGGUGAGUAACACGUGGAUAACCUACUUAUAUGUCUGGGAUAAUUUCGGGAAACCGGAGCUAAUACCGGAUAAUAUAUUGAACCGCAUGGUUCAAUAGUGAAAGACGGUUUUGCUGUCACUUAUAGAUGGUUCCGCGCCGCAUUAGCUAGUUGGUAAGGUAACGGCUUACCAAGGCAACGAUGCGUAGCCGACCUGAGAGGGUGAUCGGCCACACUGGAACUGAGACACGGUCCAGACUCCUACGGGAGGCAGCAGUGGGGAAUCUUCCGCAAUGGGCGAAAGCCUGACGGAGCAACGCCGCGUGAGUGAUGAAGGUCUUCGGGUCGUAAAACUCUGUUAUUGGGGAAGAACAGAUGUGUAAGUAACUAUGCACGUCUUGACGGUACCUAAUCAGAAAGCCACGGCUAACUACGUG